rnacentral:rRNA from 1 species
UACAGAGGUCCCGAGCGUUGUUCGGAUUCACUGGGCGUAAAGGGUGCGUAGGUGGUGAGGUAAGUCGGAUGUGAAAUCUCCAAGCUCAACUUGGAAACUGCAUUGGAAACUACCUUGCUAGAGGAUUUGAGGGGGGAUUGGAAUACUUGGUGUAGCAGUGAAAUGCGUAGAUAUCAAGUGGAACACCAGUGGCGAAGGCGGGUCUCUGGGCCGUAACUGACGCUGAGGAGCGAAAGCGUGGGUAGCAAACAGG